rnacentral:rRNA from 1 species
UUAAACCUCUUCCAGAGUAUCAAUUGGAGGGCAAGUCUGGUGCCAGCAGCCGCGGUAAUUCCAGCUCCAAUAGCGUAUAUUAAAAUUGUUGCAGUUAAAAAGCUCGUAGUUGAAUUUCUGCUGCAUUGCAUCUUCUUUUUGAUGAGUUGAUGUAUUGUGGCUUAUUUCGGAUGAUACUUGUAUUAUCCGGAUGAUUACUUUGAGAAAAUUAAAGUGCUCAAAGCACGCUUUUGCCUUGAAUAGUUUAUCAUGGAAUAAUAAAGUAUGACUUUGGAUCUAUUUUGUUGGUUUUAGGUACCAAAGUAAUGGUUAAUAGGAACAGUUGGGGGCAUUCGUAUUUAACUGUCAAAUGUGAAAUUCUUAAAUUUGUUAAAGACGAACUACUGCGAAAGCAUUUGCCAAGGAUGUUUUCAUUAAUCAAGAACGAAAGUUAGGGGAUCGAAGACGAUCAAAUACCGUCGUACUCCUAACCAUAAACUAUGCCGACUACAGAUUGGAGGUCGUCAGUUUUUACGACUCCUUCCUCACCUUGAGAGAAAUCAAAGUCUUUGGGUUCUGGGGGGAGUAUGGACGCUAGGCUGA